ensembl:lncRNA LINC00710 long intergenic non-protein coding RNA 710
AGAUACGCCCCUUGGAUGCCUGCAGAGAAGCUCUGGGGCUUCAGUCAAUGACUCAGGGUAGCCACCGAACAUGAUGCUCGGGCAGUGGGUGCCACCUGGACUCCACUCUCCCCUCUCUCUGGGAUCAUAGAGUCCAAGGUGUUCUGUGGCCUCUCGGCCAAUCCCAGCAGCUCAGCGUGCAGAAGACCGAGGAGCCAUUGGUCAGUGUAGGAGGUGCCUGGAGUUUUGGAGAUGGGAUCCACAGGAAUUCAACACAACACGAAAUAAUCAACAAAUUCGGGGAAUGUUAAUCUGACCAUCACCAGUUACAAAUGAUGUUUCAUGCUACCUUCUAUUCCUGCCUUCAUAAAUCAAGGAAAAGAAAAAGAGAACAUAUAUCCCCCUACCUUUUGAUUUCCAACAGUCUACUGAGAGGCCAAGAUUAUUUGCAGGGAAAGAAAAGGGGUCAAAAUGUUUUGCCAGUAACUCCCAAAUCAUCUACAGCCAAGGAGAAAAGUGUUUCAAGACAGAGGUGCUCAAUGGUAUCAAAUACUGCCAACAGACCAAGUAAUACAUGCAUUGAAGUGUCUACUGGAUCUAGCUAUAUGAUUCCACAGCUGUUUUAUAGUAACUCAGAGUUUGAAGAGAAAUUACUCCUGCAGUACCAGUUUCCAAAAUGCUUUGUAGCAUCUUCUCAAAAAACAAAUGGGAAGAAGCCAAUCAGAAAUAAGGAAUUUUUAAUUUAGGACACUUAGGCCAUACUGAAGCAAGGUGACAAAAUGAAUAGCUACAAUGUCUCGUGAAUCUUGGGUUUCCAUUCACCCUGGUAUUCAAGAGAAAUUCUUGCAUCAUGGAAGUUGCAGUUGGAUAGGACUUUCUCAGCUGAACACUGUCAUCUGCCAGAGCUUCAGGCAAGAACCCAGAACAGAUGAAACCCCAGACAUGACAAAAUAAGCCAAAGAAUACCAGGCCAAGGUGUGAAAGGCCAGAUGAGAACAAGCAGCGUACACGAUUCUGUUGCCAACAGAUCUCCCCUAACAGUGUCGUGCACCAAAUUUCCACAGUGAAUGUCAGGAAAAAAUGGCAAUUGAGGUGGGUGGUCAAAAGAGAAGCACAGUCUAUGAUGAAGUCACCCCAGAGAAGUCCUUUUUCCGUUUUCUCCUGAGAAAUUACCAGAAGAAAUUAAAAUCCUUUUGAGUAUUGCA